rnacentral:rRNA from 1 species
CAGUCGCCGCGGUAAUACGAAGGGUGCAAGCGUUAAUCGGAAUUACUGGGCGUAAAGCGUGCGUAGGCGGUUUGUUAAGUCUGUUGUGAAAUCCCCGGGCUCAACCUGGGAAUGGCAAUGGAUACUGGCAAGCUAGAGUGUGUCAGAGGAUGGUGGAAUUCCCGGUGUAGCGGUGAAACGCGUAGAGAUCGGGAGGAACAUCAGUGGCGAAGGCGGCCAUCUGGGACAACACUGACGCUGAGGCACGAAAGCGUGGGGAGCAAACAGGAUUAGAUACCCCAGUAGUCCCUGUCUCUUAUAU